rnacentral:rRNA from 1 species
CAGUCGCCACGGUAAAACGGAGGGUGCAAGCGUUGUCCGGAUUUAUUGGGUUUAAAGGGUGCGUAGGCGGCUAUUUAAGUCAGCGGUGAAAGACUCCGGCUCAACCGGAGCAGUGCCAUUGAUACUGGAUAGCUUGAGUGUUGGAGGGGUACAUGGAAUUGAUGGUGUAGCGGUGAAAUGCAUAGAUACCAUCAGGAACACCGAUAGCGAAGGCAUUGUACUGGCCAACAACUGACGCUGAGGCACGAAAGCAUGGGGAGCGAACAGGAUUAGAUACCCCGGUAGUCCCUGUCUCUUAUAC